rnacentral:rRNA from 1 species
GGUUACUGCUAUCGGUGUUCGCCUAAGCCAUGCGAGUCAUAUGUAGCAAUACAUGGCGUACUGCUCAGUAACACGUGGAUAACCUGCCCUUGGGUCCGGCAUAACCCCGGGAAACUGGGGAUAAUUCCGGAUAACGCAUAUAUGCUGGAAUGCUUUCUGCGUAAAACGGAUUCGUCUGCCCAAGGAUGGGUCUGCGGCCUAUCAGGUAGUAGUGGGUGUAAUGUACCUACUAGCCUACGACGGGUACGGGUUGUGAGAGCAAGAGCCCGGAGAUGGAUUCUGAGACAUGAAUCCAGGCCCUACGGGGCGCAGCAGGCGCGAAAACUUUACAAUGCGGGAAACCGUGAUAAGGGGACACCGAGUGCCAGCAUCCUAUGCUGGCUGUCCGGGUGUGUAAAAUACACCUGUAGCAAGGGCCGGGCAAGACCGGUGCCAGCCGCCGCGGUAACACCGGCGGCCCGAGUGGUGAUCGUGAUUAUUGGGUCUAAAGGGUCCGUAGCCGGUUUGGUCAGUCCUCCGGGAAAUCUGACAGCUCAACUGUUAGGCUUUCGGAGGAUACUGCCAGACUUGGAACCGGGAGAGGUAAGAGGUACUACAGGGGUAGGAGUGAAAUCUUGUAAUCCCUGUGGGACCACCUGUGGCGAAGGCGUCUUACCAGAACGGGUUCGACGGUGAGGGACGAAAGCUGGGGGCACGAACCGGAUUAGACACCCGGGUAGUCCCAGCCGU